CCUACGGGAGGCAGCAGUGGGGAAUAUUGGACAAUGGGGGGAACCCUGAUCCAGCCAUGCCGCGUGUGUGAAGAAGGCCCUCGGGUUGUAAAGCACUUUCAGUGAGGAAGAACGCCUGGUGGUUAAUACCCAUCAGGAAAGACAUCACUCACAGAAGAAGCACCGGCUAACUCCGUGCCAGCAGCCGCGGUAAUACGGAGGGUGCGAGCGGUAAUCGGAAUUACUGGGCGUAAAGCGCGCGUAGGUGGCUUGAUAAGCCGGUUGUGAAAGCCCCGGGCUCAACCUGGGAACGGCAUCCGGAACUGUCAAGCUAGAGUGCAGGAGAGGAAGGUAGAAUUCCCGGUGUAGCGGUGAAAUGCGUAGAGAUCGGGAGGAAUACCAGUGGCGAAGGCGGCCUUCUGGACUGACACUGACACUGAGGUGCGAAAGCGUGGGUAGCAAACAGGAUUAGAUACCCCUGUAGUC
rnacentral:rRNA from 1 species